GGCCUUGUGGUCUAGUGGUAUGAUUCUCGCUUUGGGUUCUUCCAAACAUGCGAGAGGCCCCGUGUUCGAUCCACGGCGAGGCCC